rnacentral:rRNA from 1 species
AUUGAACGCUGGCGGCAGGCCUAACACAUGCAAGUCGAACGGUAGCAGGAAGAAGCUUGCUUCUUUGCUGACGAGUGGCGGACGGGUGAGUAAUGUCUGGGAAACUGCCUGAUGGAGGGGGAUAACUACUGGAAACGGUAGCUAAUACCGCAUAACGUCGCAAGACCAAAGAGGGGGACCUUCGGGCCUCUUGCCAUCAGAUGUGCCCAGAUGGGAUUAGCUAGUAGGUGGGGUAACGGCUCACCUAGGCGACGAUCCCUAGCUGGUCUGAGAGGAUGACCGGCCACACUGGAACUGAGACACGGUCCAGACUCCUACGGGAGGCAGCAGUGGGGGAUAUUGCACAAUGGGCGCAAGCCUGAUGCAGCCAUGCCGCGUGUGUGAAGAAGGCCUUCGGGUUGUAAAGCACUUUCAGCGGGGAGGAAGGGGGAAUGGUUAAUAACCAUUGUCAUUGACGUUACCCGCAGAAGAAGCACCGGCUAACUCCGUGCCAGCCGCCGCCGUAA